rnacentral:rRNA from 1 species
UACGAAGGGUGCGAGCGUUAAUCGGAAUUACUGGGCGUAAAGCGUGCGCAGGCGGCUUAUUAAGUCAGAUGUGAAAGACCCGGGCUUAACCUGGGAAUGGCGUUUGAAACUGAUAGGCUAGAGUGUGUCAGAGGAGGGUAGAAUUCCACGUGUAGCAGUGAAACGCGUAGAGAUGUGGAGGAAUACCGAUGGCGAAGGCAGCCUCCUGGGAAUGUACUGACGCUCAUGUG